rnacentral:rRNA from 1 species
AUGUUAAUGGCUACUAGCGGGGAUCUGGUUUUCUGGACAGGCACACUCGAUUGCGAUUUCCUCGUAACUUCCACGUGUAAAAUCAGUAAGGCUGGGAUUGGAGGCCCUCUUGUUAGUCUUGAUGGGGAUGUUAUUGGCAUGAACUUCUAUGAUAAGAGAAUAGGGACCCCUUUCCUGUUAUUGGUGGACAUUUACAAAAUUCUAGCAUCGUUUGAGACAAAAAGUGAACUUGGUGAAGUUGGCAAUGAUAGUGAUCCCUCUGGAGCGCCUUUCUGGAAAAUGGAUGAAGAUAACAAAACUAAGUUAAACAGGUGGCCUGUGCCCAUGCCUCGCUGGCGCAAUCCUGACUAUGUGGAUGAGGAUAAAUCUGAUGAUGAUGAUGAGGUCUUUGAUCCCAAAUCUGGCCGCGCGCCGCCUAUGUACGGUUACUUCAAGGGAAAGAAACUCAUGCUCUUUUAG